rnacentral:snRNA from 1 species
AUCGCUUCUCGGCUCUCUGUGAGCUAAGAUCAAGUGUAGUAUCUGUUCUUAUCAGUUUAAUAUCUGAUUAUAUCUUUAUCUUUAUCUAUAUCUUUAAUAUCUUUAUUCCCACGACUGCCAUCAGAGGGGUGCUAUGAGCACAACUUCU